ACCUCCCUCACCAUAAGACUGCCUUGAACUUGUGAAAAUCGCCAAUGUUGAAUCAGGAAAAUCAAGCGAAGGCUCCAGCCCCUUUUGCUGAAGGAAGGCCUCACAAAGGAGAGCACUGCUGACCAGCUGAGUGGGGGAGUCACUGGAUCCUGGAAGCUGGAGUUCAAUGUGGUCCUCUGGGAGCAGGAUGACGUCAGAUCCAGGCUAUUUGCUGCAUCAGUUAACCCGGCUGAGCUGUGAGUGCCUCUUUCAGCCACUGAAUCGAGGGGGUAGGUCUCAGAAACAUCUUAAUUCAUGCCAACGUGAUGGACAGCCCGGAUUACGGAAGGAUAGAGAGGCGGAUAGCCUCGCCUCAGCCCCACAUGCACACGCACGUGCACACACACGUGCACACACACGCAGGUGCACCUACAUCCACACUGGGAACAGCGGGAAGGGCAUCAGGGGAGGAGCCAAAGGCCUGGGUUUCACAUCCAGCUCUGUCAUUGACCCCCGGACCUCAGUUUCCCCAUUUGUAAAGUGAGGUGGUGGGACCAGAUGAUUUCCCAGCUCCUUUCUGUGAAAUUCGUGGUGCUGGUUCUUUCCUGGCUCCCUGGAGCCACUGUAGCUUCCUGGCCAGUCCCCCUGCUUAUUUCCAUCUUCUCCCCUCACCCGGCCCUGGCUCCUCAAGGGCCCCCCUGUUUCUCCCAGAGCUUCGUGACAGCCUUGGGCUCUUGGGACAGCAGUCGACUCGGGGUGGACACGUGCUCUGGCUUUGUGCGGGGCCAGGGGCGCCUUUGUGGCUUGUGGACCUGCUGUACGUGCAACACCACGUGCAAAGCUCACAGCCUGAUGUCCGGGCACACCACAGGUGCCUCCCAAAGGCCUUCCUUUCCCCUUCCAUCUCCCUCUUUUGAGCUCACCUGGACUCCCAGUUCCCCUUCGAGGCCAGGUUCCCUUCGUCUGCCGUGGGCCUUUCUAGCUUCAGGCCCGCCCCAGCCUCUGUCACUCGGUUCCCAGCCUGACCCCUCAAAUGGGUCCCACUGCUGUCAGGAGGAAGACACGGAUCCUCCGGGCCCCUGCCUCCCUGUCCUGUGCAGCCCGUGCACCUGCCCCUCCGGAUGUAGCACCUGGACCCUUCUCUGAGGUCCUCACACCUGCGUGCUCCCUCCGCUGGGCCCUCACGGGAAGCCUCACCUCCUCUCCCCAUGGCGGGCAGCUCAAGGCUCCUUCUCCAGGGACGUUCUCCUUGACCCCCGAAGGGUAAAGGCCCUCGGGGUGAGUUCCUCUGGCUCCCUCUCUCCUCCUCCGGACCAUGAAGCACCCUUAUAACUAAAAGACUAGCUGCAUCUUAAGCCUCCAAUGUGGGUUUCCCACAUAAGACUGUAAGCUCCAUGAGGGCAGGGACGUGCAUCUGUGUCUGCUUUGCCCAGCCCUGUCGCCUGGGGCUCAGCAUGUAUUUAUUGAACAAAUGAAUGGCAUUUAAAUUUACUCUCUUUAAACACAGCUGAAGCUGUGUGCUCAGCCACUU